CCUACGGGUGGCAGCAGUGGGGAAUAUUGCACAAUGGAGGCAACCCUGAUGCAGCGACGCCGCGUGAGUGAAGAAGGAAUUCGUUAUGUAAAGCUCUAUCAGCAGGGAAGAAAAUGACGGUACCUGAGUAAGAAGCCCCGGCUAACUACGUGCCAGCAGCCGCGGUAAUACGUAGGGGGCAAGCGUUAUCCGGAUUUACUGGGUGGAAAGGGAGCGUAGACGGGAGUGCAAGUCUGGAGUGAAAGGCGGGGGCUCAACCCCCGGACUGCACUUGAAACUGUACGGCUGGAGUGCAGGAGCGGUAGGUGGAAUUCAUGGUGUAGCGGUGAAAUGCGUAGAUAUUAGGAGGAACACCAGUGGCGAAGGCGGCUUACUGGACUGUAACUGACGUUGAGGCUCGAAAGUGUGGGGAGCAAACAGGAUUAGAUACCCGGGUAGUC
rnacentral:rRNA from 1 species